UGAAAUAGCAACAAUUACCAUGUGAUCUGGCGGAUGACGCAGCGCUUGUAACUGGAUCCUAAAGAGUGUGAGUGUGUGUGUGUGUCUGUGUGGGUGUGUGUGUGUUUGUGUAUGUGUGUGUGUGUGUUACUGUGAAGUCCCAUGGUUGUGACCCCAGUAAGAAUGAUAGGGCAAUACCAGUUCCAAGGUUUUUCAGCAUAAAGCCUUACUGGACAUAGUGAACUAAAAUUGUUGGUGGGGAAGUUGGUUGAACAUAUGUUAAUGAGCCAAAUGAUUACGGAGAAGAGAAAGACCAUACGUUAAUUGUAAACUUUUUGUGUCUGGCUUUUUUUUCAUCUACUACCGUUGGUUCAAUGUUAUAUAGAGAGCAUCCAAAUUAUAUCACAACCUCGUCCUCAGUGGCUCUGAAGUGGUGGCCACCAGUGUUAAGCUGGGUCAUCCUACCAGUUCCAGUUUGGGGGAAGAAAUUGCAUCUUUAAUUAUCUGUGUUUAGGUCUUACCUGUGCAUCCACCAUCUACCCUAGGCUAAAGGGAUUAUUAUUCGACACAGUAGAAUAAUAGGGUAUUCACAGAUUCUUAUACUUUCCUUUUUUAUCUGUAUAUAUCACAGAGAGUAUUUAUUUGAGAGUUUGAUUUGGUAGUGAGUGAGAGGUAUUUCUUCAGAUAAUAGUCAACACAUUAAUAAAUGUUUUU